GAUCUUGAUGGGCCAUCAGAAAUAAAUGAUAGUGAACAUGAAAGUCUUGCACGGCACGUCUAUGGUCAUGGAACUACCUCUGGAGAAUAACUGUUGUUCAUUUAGCUUGUAUUAUCAAGUGUUCUCUUGAAAUUUUCUCUAAGUCAAACUGGUAACCUUCUUAUUAUUAGGCUUGCACUGUGCACAUGUGACAGCCGUCCUGUUAGCAGAGUUGUGGUUGUAGUCAGCUGCUCAGCAAGGCAAUUAAGGGUCCAGGCCAGGUCAUUCUCACUGCUACAGGUCAUGGCUCUCCAGCAUAUCACUGGCCACCCCUCCACGACAGGAAGUGCUGUUGCUGUUUCGAAAGUGUGUGUGGGACCAUGUACAGUACCUGCACUGCAUUGUUCAUUCAAGACGGCAGAGGUAACCGGCGCCUCUACAUGUGAUGAGACCUGCCACUGUGCAGACCUACACAAAGACUACAAAUAAGAAGAUGGCUGAUAUAUUACAUAACAAAUUUUGCAA